rnacentral:rRNA from 1 species
AGCCAUUAGAUAAGCAAGUACUAAAGGUAACGCCUGCCCGGUGAGUAUAACUUUAACGGCCGCGAUUAAACGUGCAAAGGUAGCGCAAUCACUUGUUCCAUAAAUCGGGACCCGUAUGAAUGGCCACAUGAGAAAGAAACUGUCUCUUGAAGAUAGCCAGUGAAACUGAUCUUCCUGUAAAAAAGCAGGCAUGAAAAAGCCGGACAAAAAGACCCUGUGAAACUUAAAAUAAAACACUAAACCCAAUAGUGCCUACUUUUAGUUGGGGCAACUUAAGAAACAUUAAACAUCUUAAAACUUUCCAAACCAACAAGUUUAAACACCAAAAAUAGACCCGGUAACACCGAGUGACGAACCAAGCUACUCCAGGGAUAACAGCGCUAAAUUCUUCAAGAGUCCAUAUCAACAAGAAUUCUUACGACCUCGAUGUUGGAUCAGGAUACCCAAACAGUGCAAAAGCUGUUGACGGUUCGUUUGUUCAACGAUUAAAAUCCU